rnacentral:lncRNA from 1 species
CCAACAUUCCAGUCUCGCCCUCUCUGAGGUGGGAAAGACCAGGGUUUGAGACUCUGAAUGAGGUCCAAAUGAACCAUUAACAUAACAUCUGCCCAAAGAAAGUUCCAUUCAAAGGAUAAGGAAGACCAGGCGCAUUAGUCUUCUACCCAGAAUCAAGGGAUGAGAGAAGGAGGACCAGUCCCUCAACCCGCUCUAGUGUCAGCAAGCUGCUGUUGCUCUUGAGAAGUCCUUUGUUACAAAAUCCCGUGGCACGGCUUUCUACAGAGAAUUGCCCCCUUUGAAGAUUUGCCCCAGUGGUCGUCGUGUUAGCUGCUUCGGUGAAGAAAUAAAAAGGCAUGCCUUAGGGUAACUUUGGAGUCCACGUGUUGAACAUUCCCUGGGAAGAAACCUGAGUCUCUGAAUGACUCCAUGGAGCAGAGCCCUUUCACACCACCACACACCUACUCUCUGCUCACCUGUUGGUCUGUGAAAUGCAGCAGCAAAAGACCAUAAUGUGUUCAGACACCAAGGAUUUGGGGUUGUUUGUUACAGAAGAUAUCCUAUCCUGAUUUAUUCAAACAUUUAGCCCACAGUAAUGUUUAUUAAAUAGACCUGUGCAAGAAUGGACUGGUCACUUUGGCAACCUGGAAACUGUACUUCAUGCAAGCACCCCAGGAAUGUUUGUUACUCCGAAUGUGUAUCCAUAAUAUUGUCAGUAAGCCACAUUUGCCAAGAAACCCAGGAAAACACUGAAGUUUGCCAGCCUGGAAGAUAAUUCACAUCCCCAGAGUAAAAAAUGCUACUUAUCCGUUCUCAUCUCCAGGCCGCAUGCUAUAUCUGUAUUCACGUUUCAAUAUUGAUUCAAAAUAUCACUUACCUCUUUCAUUGUGGUUUCCUCUCCAAGAUUUAUUUCCUCAGAAAGGUUGGUUCCUCACCAUAGUUACAUAUUUCUGAGAUUAAGUCUUUCUACCUUGCCCUGCUAUUUUUUUCCUUGUUAUUUUACCACAUUAUGUCUUAUCAGUAAGAAUUGACAGCCCCCUGGGAAAGAACUGGUUUGAAAUGAUGUGCACAGUAAUCAGGUGCUUGUCUAAGGAUAUUUCCGUGCAAUGGGAGUUCCUUCAGUGUGGUCUGCAGCCCAGGAUCAUCAGCAUUACCCAGAGAAAUAAAGCAAUGCAGACUCUCAGGACCUAUCCCAGACCUACAGAAUCUAAAUCUUCAUCUUAACUAGAUCUCAAUGUGGUUCCUAUUGUUGAAAGAACUUUCUAGGCCCAAGAUGGAGCCACUCCUGCCCAGGGUGCCACGUCAGCAAACUGAAACUUAGAUAACUUUAGUAACCCCCUCAAUGUCAACUUAACUACAAACGCAGUACAUUCCAGUCAGCCAAUCCCCAAAAGCCAGGCCACCUCUGGGCUCUGUACUCACUUCCUCACUCCUUCUCACCCCAAGGCUGACUAUGUGUCCUAGCCAAUCAGAUAUUUUCUAUUUUCCUCUUCCUUGUUGGUUAUUCUUUAUCCUUUAAAAGCUUCCUGCCUCCAACCCAUCUUUCAGUUCUCCAAAUGGAGACUAUCUGCCUCACAAAAUGUUAAAUCAAGUUUGUUUGUGUCAUCUAAAUUGGCUUCUUUAGUCACUUUUUAACAGUACAUACUUUAAAGCUUGAGAAGCAGAAGUUCUUUCAUGGGCAAGGAGCAUGGGGAGGAGGAGGAGGAGGGAAUCGGAAUCACCAAAGAGGACGUUUUAUGCACGCGUCAGGCUCACCCUGCUCCCCAGAUUCUGAUUCUGCUGUGCCUGAAGAGGCUGCCCAGCAUGGAUUGGGUGGAAGACGUGCUAGAGAUUUGUCUCUCGUGUUUCCCCUCAGUGGGAAGAGUAGUAGGGUGUCAUUUAGUGCUCUGUCUAAGGUGGACCACACAGAUGAUCAAACUCUAGAUAAACAAUUAGCUAUUCUCGACCAUCGUAUCUCCAGUGCAGAAGGCAGUUCUUAGCAUAUAAAAGGAGCUCACUAAUAAAUCGCAAAUGGGAUCCAAAGAGCACCAAAAUCAUGGAUGAAAUAGAUAAACAUGUCAACACCUAGAACAAGCCUUUUUGGUGUGAUCAACAUGAGAUUACCUCCCCUCAUAGUUUCAUUGCUACUGACCAAGCCAAAACUAUUGUUUUUUGGAGUUUAUGGUCUGUUCCAAAUCCAAAUGUCAACAAAAGUAUAGUAGAAUUUGGUUAGGCCAGUGAUUCAAAGCUGCUUGCUGACAUCAUAGAGCACGUAUUCUAAACUUUUGAGGGCUUGUUUAAACCCAAUUAUAUGGCAUGUGAACGGUGGGAACUCUGUAACUGCUGCUGAUAGACUGACAAGAUUCACUCACCACUGGCUUGAGUCUUUGUGAUUCCGUUCAACCUCAAAGGAAAGGAAUUCACAGUCUUCACGAUCCAUUCUGAAGCUGGGCAACCUUUUACCAAUGCAAAGAACUAAUUGCUUCUUUGUCUCUGGAUUGCAUAUUGCUUAUUACUGGCAUGACAUUCCAGUACCCAAGAAGCAUAAAUAGUGAUCCCUGAAGCUGUUGUAACCUUUUCAGACUAUAGCAGCUUGAUCAUUUGCCUCAUUACACUCUCCAGAACUUCUCCUGGAUGACAGCCCGAAACGAAGGGUUCCGCUGGCAUCCUUCAUUAGCACUUUCUUCACCAUUUCCCAGCACAGCAAAUGUCCCGGGAGCACACGCAGAAAACUUCAGCAACCAUCCCUCAGUAUUUUAGUCCUUCAAGUCCCUGGGCACAUUUCCUAACUAUUAAAUCAUGUGUGUGCUUUCAAAACCGUAAGCUUAAUGAGCUUUGCCCACCCCAGCUGGCCCCAAGACAAACCUUUCACUAGAAUAUUCCUCUCGAUGUGAUUUUCCUAUCACAAAUCAGGAACACCAGUGAAAACUCAAAAGCUCACAAAACUAAGAUAAGG